rnacentral:snRNA from 1 species
UGGCUCUGGUUCCACUUCAAAAUCGAAUAAAUCUUUCGCGUUUUACUAACGAUUUCCGUGGAGUGGAACACAUGAUGAAUCUAAUCUAAAUUUUUUUCUAGUGCUCGACUGAAAGGUUG